CUUAUGUUUUUAUUUUCUAUGUGUAAACAAUUUUUCGAAUAGAAAUCUUGCUCUGAUGUAUCGAGUAUCGUCCCUUUUCUGAAUUGAAACUUUUUCUUGUUGAUUCAUUAGAGCGGUAAUUUUUUGAUUUUCCAAAGGAUUUUCGAAAAAAUUGGACUAAAACUAGAAAAUUACAGGUAAAACGGCAAAUAUUUACGCGUGGUGGUGUUAAAGAUUUCAUUGUUUUUAAUUUUUGCAACUUACGUUUUGAACCAGAAAUAUUGCACCAAUCGGAAAAGGAUACAAGAUCAAUGUUUUUACUUUCAAUAGUAAGCCACUGUCAAAGAAAGUUCUUCUUUGAUAUUGAAAGUAGUUUUCAUAAUAAUUGGGAAAAACUAAAAAAGAUGAAAAAAAAGAUUUCAUUAUUUUAAAUUUUGACAUUUUAUGUAUCUUUUUACCAUAAAUAUUGCUCUAAUAGAAAAACAACUAGAGACGUUUUUUAUUGAAUUAUUAAUCUAGUUUGUGAAUAUGUAAUCUAGUUUUUGAUUCCUUUUAUCUUUAGUAUCAGCUUUUUUAAAAAAUGCAUAAGCUGUACAAAAUAAAUUAUAAAUGCAUAAUUUGUAUAAAUUACGAAACACCAAUUCAAAGUUUGCAUUUAUUAAAACUAAACCAUUAUCAAUAAAAUAUAAUGUAUAAUUUAUGCAUUUAUAUGUGUUUUGAAUAUUUUUGAAUGAACUGAACAAUUCUAAUUAAAUUUAAAAUUGUGUUUGUUAUAGAAUACAGUAAGUAAUUUAAUAAAUAAAUAUGUUAAUAUGUGAAUAAAUUAUUUUGUAUUUUUUUUUAUUUAGCGAAAGUUCGGUAUUAUGCAAAGAAUUGGUGCCCAUUGGAAUGUAUAUAAUUACAAACAUAUAACAAACUAUUGUAUUGUAUUUUGUUACAAUAAUUUUACAUCUUUGCCUAUACAUAAAUUAUUCAAUUCAUAGAAAAUAUCUAAUGAUACCAUGUUUAGUUAUAUUUAAUAUUAUUAAAAUUUAUUAGAAUAAGAUGUUUUACAAUGCAUACUCGUAUUUAAGAAAUAUAAACUGUUUAUAAUAAAAUAGUUUGUUUUAAGAUUUCAAUAUUAUUAAGAUGUAAUAUUAUUAACCAAUUAGCC